rnacentral:rRNA from 1 species
UUGACCUCGGAUCAGUUAGAAUACCCGCUGAACUUAAGCAUAUCAAUAAGCNGAGNAAAAGAAACCAACAGGGAUUGCCUCAGUAACGGCGAGUGAAGCGGCAACAGCUCAAAUUUGAAAUCUGGCCUCGGCCCGAGUUGUAAUUUGGAGAGGAUGCUUCGGGCGCGACGCCUUCCAAGUCCCCUGGAACGGGGCGCCGGAGAGGGUGAGAGCCCCGUACGGUUGGACGUCAAGCCUGUGUGAAGCUCCUUCGACGAGUCGAGUAGUUUGGGAAUGCUGCUCUAAACGGGAGGUGGACCCCUUCUAAAGCUAAAUACCGGCUGGAGACCGAUAGCGCACAAGUAGAGUGAUCGAAAGAUGAAAAGAACUUUGAAAAGAGGGUUAAACAGUACGUGAAAUUGUUGAAAGGGAAGCGCUUGUGACCAGACUUGCGCCGGGGUGAUCAUCGGGCGUUUUCGCCCGUGCACUCGCCCCGGCUCAGGCCAGCGUCGGUUCGGGAGGGGGGACAAAGGCGCCGGGCACGUAGCUCCUCGGAGUGUUAUAGCCCGGCGUGUCAUGCUCCCGCCCGGACCGUGGCUCGCGCUCUGCAAGGACGCUGGCGUAAUGGUCAUCAGCGGCCCGUCUUGAAACACGGACCAAGGAGUCGAGGUUCUGCGCGAGUGUAUGGGUGCCAAACCCGCACGCGCAAUGAAAGUGAACGUAGGUGGGAGCCUCGGCGCACCACCGACCGAUCCUGAUGUUCUCGGAUGGAUUUGAGUACGAGCGCAGGGCCUCGGACCCGAAAGAUGGUGAACUAUGCUUGGAUAGGGUGAAGCCAGAGGAAACUCUGGUGGAGGCUCGCAGCGGUUCUGACGUGCAAAUCGAUCGUCAAAUCUGAGCAUGGGGGCGAAAGACUAAUCGAACCAUCUAGUAGCUGGUUACCGCCGAAGUUUCCCUCAGGAUAGCAGUGUUGUCUUCAGUUUUAUGAGGUAAAGCGAAUGAUUAGGGACUCGGGGGCGCUAUUUAGCCUUCAUCCAUUCUCAAACUUUAAAUAUGUAAGAAGCCCUUGUUGCUUAAUUGAACGUGGGCCUUCGAAUGCAGCAACACUAGUGGGCCAUUUUUGGUAACCAGAACUGGCGAUGUNGGAUGAACCNANCNCCGGGUUAAGGUNCCG